rnacentral:rRNA from 1 species
GCCCUUAGAGUUUGAUCCUGGCUCAGAACGAACGCUGGCGGCAGGCCUAACACAUGCAAGUCGAGCGCACUCUUCGGAGUGAGCGGCGGACGGGUUAGUAACGCGUGGGAAUAUACCCUUUUCUACGGAAUAGCCUCGGGAAACUGAGAGUAAUACCGUAUACGCCCUUCGGGGGAAAGAUUUAUCGGUGAAGGAUUAGCCCGCGUAAGAUUAGAUAGUUGGUGGGGUAAUGGCCUACCAAGUCUACGAUCUUUAGCUGGUUUGAGAGGAUGAUCAGCAACACUGGGACUGAGACACGGCCCAGANUCNUNNGGGAGGCAGCAGUGGGGAAUCUUAGACAAUGGGNGCAAGCNUGAUCUAGCCAUNNCGNGUGAGUGNNGAAGCCAGAGGGUGGUAAUGUUCUUUCUUCAGAGAUGAUAAUUGCACUAUNNUCAAAGAAACCCCGGCNAANUSMNKGCCAGCAGCCGCGGUAAUAAGGGCG